UCGACCAGAGCUGGCAGACAUGCCUUUGGACUUAUUACAACUCCCAGAAAGCCUGAGGGCAGAGAGGCUUCAAGCAAGCUCCUCCCCACGUGACACCUCUCCAAAGGCACAAGGCUCCGCAGGGACACAGCCAUUGAAAGGCAGGACCGAGACAGACCACAAAGGGAAGGAAGCCUUCUCAAACACUGCUGCCAGCCGACCAGAGAACACCAGAAAGAGAUCGCACCAGUCUAAUGCUGAAAGCGGUCCUCCUGAGGUGAGGAGGCGGAUGGAGGUUUUUCGGCAGAGAGAGGAAAGCCCAUGUACCUCCUCGGACCAAGCCAGUGACAGCGAGGUGGAAGAGGACGAUGAGAGGGAGAGCGAGUGGGACCACAACCCCUCCAGAAAACGGGUGAAGAGCGAAGACGGGCAGUUGAAGCAAGGCAACGGGGCCAAUGGAGCAAGUAAGAUCCACAACGGUCGUGCAGUGAUCCAGCAUCUUAAGAGUGUGGUGACCAGUUCCGGGUCGAAUAUUAAGACUGAACAAGAAGUAAUGGGAACAAGUGUAGGUGCAGGUUCUGGAAGGCGUUGGAGCCAAGCUCAACCCAGCAGUGGAGGGACCAAUGGCAGCAGUUCACCUUCCCAACCUCAAAACUCGACCUCGACAGAAGCUCCGUCCAAGGGCCUGUUCAACCCACCCUCCCCGACCCUGUCGCCAUCCAUUCUGGCCUCAUCCCUGCCCAGAGAUGAUCGGUCCAUGCACGGAGGGCGUGCUCCGGACUUCGAACUGCUGCAGAGACUCACUGCUAGUGGGGCUGCAGGACGUGUGCUGUUUCAUCCCCUGGCUAUAGGCCCACAGGGGCCUCAGAGUCUCUAUGCUCCCAGCACUAUUCGCUACGCCCCACCUGAGAUGCCUACAGCUCACGCUGAAGGGCACCGCUCAGACCAUGUGGCCAAAACUCCUACUUUCUUUCCCCACUUGCAAAGGAUCGCUUCUCUGCCUCCCUUCAGUGGAUUUUCUCCAGCUGAACCCACUUUUCCUCCAACUCUGCCCUUCUGUAUGAAUGGACUGAGGGGAAUGGCAGGGACAGAUGAGGAUUGA
rnacentral:lncRNA from 1 species